rnacentral:rRNA from 1 species
UACGAAGGUCCCGAGCGUUAUCCGGAUUUAUUGGGUUUAAAGGGUGUGUAGGCGGACUUUUAAGUCAGCGGUGAAAUCUCCGGGCUUAACCCGGAAACUGCCAUUGAUACUAUUUGUCUUGAAUACUGUGGAGGUCAGCGGAAUAUGUCAUGUAGCGGUGAAAUGCUUAGAUAUGACAUAGAACACCAAUUGCGAAGGCAGCUGGCUACACAAAUAUUGACGCUGAGGUGCGAAAGCGUGGGGAGCAAACAGG